GUACGCUGGCGGCACGCCUAAUACAUGCAAGNNNNAACGAAGUGGCAAUACUUAGUGGCAGACGGGUGAGUAACAUGUGGGUAUCUUCCCUUUGGUGAGGAAUAACACGAGGAAACUUGUGCUAAUACCUCAUAAGUCUUUACGGAGAAAGCUUUAUGCGCCGAUGGAUGAGCCCGCACUUGAUUAGUUUGUUGGUGGGGUAAUAGCCUACCAAGACUAUGAUCAAUAGCUGAUUUGAGAGGAUGAUCAGCCACAUUGGGACUGAGACACGGCCCAAACUCCUACGGGAGGCAGCAGUAGGGAAUCUUGCACAAUGGAGGAAACUCUGAUGCAGCGAUGCCGCGUGAGUGAAGAAGGCCCUUGGGUUGUAAAGCUCUUUCGUCGGGGAAGAAAAUGACUGUACCCGAAUAAGAAGGUCCGGCUAACUUCGUGCCAGCAGCCGCGGUAAUACGAAGGGACCUAGCGUAGUUCGGAAUUACUGGGCUUAAAGAGUUCGUAGGUGGUUAAAAAAGUUGGUGGUGAAAGCCCAGAGCUUAACUCUGGAAUGGCCAUCAAAACUUUUUAGCUAGAGUAUGAUAGAGGAAAGCAGAAUUUCUAGUGUAGAGGUGAAAUUCGUAGAUAUUAGAAAGAAUACCGAUUGCGAAGGCAGCUUUCUGGAUCAUUACUGACACUGAGGAACGAAAGCAUGGGUAGCGAAGAGGAUUAGAUACCCUCGUAGUCCAUGCCGUAAACGAUGUGUGUUAGAUGUUGGAAUUUAUUUUCAGUAUCGCAGCGAAAGCAAUAAACACACCGCCUGGGGAGUACGACCGCAAGGUUAAACUCAAAUGAAUUGACGGGGACCGC
rnacentral:rRNA from 1 species